GAUGAACGCUGGCGGCGCGCCUAAUACAUGCAAGUCGAGCGAACAGACGAGGAGCUUGCUCCUCUGACGUUAGCGGCGGACGGGUGAGUAACACGUGGAUAACCUACCUAUAAGACUGGGAUAACUUCGGGAAACCGGAGCUAAUACCGGAUAAUAUAUUGAACCGCAUGGUUCAAUAGUGAAAGACGGUUUUGCUGUCACUUAUAGAUGGAUCCGCGCCGCAUUAGCUAGUUGGUAAGGUAACGGCUUACCAAGGCAACGAUGCGUAGCCGACCUGAGAGGGUGAUCGGCCACACUGGAACUGAGACACGGUCCAGACUCCUACGGGAGGCAGCAGUAGGGAAUCUUCCGCAAUGGGCGAAAGCUUGACGGAGCAACGCCGCGUGAGUGAUGAAGGUCUUCGGAUCGUAAAACUCUGUUAUUAGGGAAGAACAUAUGUGUAAGUAACUGUGCACAUCUUGACGGUACCUAAUCAGAAAGCCACGGCUAACUACGUG
rnacentral:rRNA from 1 species